UUUUUAAAAGGUUCAGUUAGGU
rnacentral:miRNA from 1 species